rfam:Picoides pubescens contig64062, whole genome shotgun sequence.
AAGACUAUACUUUCAGGGAUCAUUUCUGUAGUUGGUCACUAGAGGAGAGUGAUCUUACCUGAUCAGCGUCACAAACCACGAGGAGGAGAGAGGUGCUCUCUCCUGAGCGCGAAGCGGGCGAGAGGCGCUGCUUGUGCAGGGGCCUCUCGCCAUUGAUGACCGUUCCCAGCUCUGCCUUGUGUGGAGCUGGGGGGGAGAGAGCACUGGCUGAGUGGU